UACGGAGGGAGCGAGCGUUACUCGGAAUCACUGGGCGUAAAGGGCGCGUAGGCGGUCUAGCAAGUCUGGUGUGAAAGCCCAGGGCUCAACCCUGGAAGGGCACUGGAAACUGCUAGGCCUGAGUUCCGGAGAGGAGGGGGGAAUUCCCGGUGUAGCGGUGAAAUGCGUAGAUAUCGGGAGGAAUACCGGUGGCGAAGGCGCCCCUCUGGACGGAAACUGACGCUGAGGCGCGAAAGCGUGGGGAGCAAACAGG
rnacentral:rRNA from 1 species